AACGUAGGAGGCGAGCGUUAUCCGGAGUUACUGGGCGUAAAGAGCGUGUAGGCGGGUAUGCAAGUUUGGCGUGAAAGCUCCCGGCUAAACUGGGAGACUGCGUUGAAGACUGCGUAUCUAGAGGCAAGUAGAGGGACGUGGAAUUCCGGGUGUAGUGGUGAAAUGCGUAGAGAUCCGGAGGAACACCAGUGGCGAAGGCGACGUCCUGGGCUUGACCUGACGCUGAGGAGCGAAAGCAUGGGGAGCGAACAGG
rnacentral:rRNA from 1 species